rnacentral:rRNA from 1 species
UACGGGGGGGGCAAGCGUUGUUCGGAAUUACUGGGCGUAAAGGGCCAGUAGGCGGCCAACUAAGUCCGACGUGAAAUCCCAAGGCUUAACCUUGGAACUGCGUCGGAUACUGGAUGGCUUGAAUUCGGGAGAGGGAUGCAGAAUUCCAGGUGUAGCGGUGAAAUGCGUAGAUAUCUGGAGGAAUACCGGUGGCGAAGGCGGCAUCCUGGACCGACAUUGACGCUGAGGUGCGAAAGCGUGGGGAGCAAACAGG